rnacentral:rRNA from 1 species
CAGCAGUAGCCGCGGGAAUACAGAGGGUGCGAGCGUUAAUCGGAUUUACUGGGCGUAAAGCGUGCGUAGGCGGCUUUUUAAGUCGGAUGUGAAAUCCCUGAGCUUAACUUAGGAAUUGCAUUCGAUACUGGGAAGCUAGAGUAUGGGAGAGGAUGGUAGAAUUCCAGGUGUAGCGGUGAAAUGCGUAGAGAUCUGGAGGAAUACCGAUGGCGAAGGCAGCCAUCUGGCCUAAUACUGACGCUGAGGUACGAAAGCAUGGGGAGCAAACAGGAUUAGAUACCCCAGUAGUCCCUGUCUCUUAUAC